AUGAGCAAGGAGGAUGGAGGGCAGCACCACCUGCCCUGGAUCAUCGCGAGUGUUAACAAGGUGACAGGCCUCCAGCAGCUUCCCCAUGAGGGCUGCUCCUGCACUCCUGACCUGCCCCACCCGUCGAUGCUGCAUCCUUCUGCAGCCAGAGGGGGCCUUCGGGCAGAGAGUGGCAGAGGCUGCAAGAAGAAGCCACUGACAUGAUGGCCAUGGCGCACAGCAGGACAACACUCAUGUGGACAGUGUGUUCUGCAGAAACCAAGACCUAAAGGGACUGAAGUGACCUCCUGGAUCCCACUGUGAGUUAGGCUGGACCGAGGGUGCUUUCUGCCACACAUCCCUCCCUCCACCACCUCCCUGUGGUCAGGUCUGUGACUCAUCCUUGCCCCUCCUCCUUCACAUGGUUUAAUAAGAAAACUUUGGUGGCAGAUACAGCAGUACCUUGAAAAACAUCGAUUGGUUUAAAUCUAUGAAACUUUGGAGCCCGUCUCUGAAAAAGCCCCUCUCAGAAAAAGACCUUCUCUCCGUCUUUGCAUCCCCGUCUCUGCACGUGGUAGGUCCUUUGUACACAAAGGAUGAGCUGAAGUUUGGGUCAUUUGUGUAGAACGGGGUGAUGCUUAUGUCUUUAUGACUCUCAGUUACCAGUUUGAAAAAUAGUCAUGGGAUGCCAGCAUGCUAACAUCCUAGGCUCAUCGUAUUAGAUGUUCAGCAGGAUGCAUGGCACCUAGGGGCUCAACUGCAGUCUGGACUGCUGAAGAACAGAUAGAAAAUCACAUAAGCUGUUACCCCAAAGGAAGGGGUGGUCACUGUGCGAGCCGGCAAGAAACAUCACGAGUAGGACCAUCAUGAGCCCAAGGAUCACGUUUCAUGUCCCCCCCCAACCCCUGCAGGACACCAUCGCCUCCCCAAACCCGCCCAACUGCAAGUCUGAGGUUAGGGGUCAGGGUGCCCCCUCCCAGCUGCACAUUCUCGCAUCCCUGAAGCUCUGAGUCAGGUUUCCCGCCUCCUGCGAUUUCACAGCUCCCCGCCGGCCAAGCUGUUUUGCAGACCCAAGUUGGUAAUGACAGAUUCUUCUCUCCUGGCCCUCCACUGGUGAAACCACGGAAAGUAUUUGAAACACGCAGCCCCGGGAAUGUGCAAGCUUCCAUUCGCUGGGCUUGGCAAGGACCAACAGUUUCUCAGCCAGCACUUUUGACUAAGACUU
rnacentral:lncRNA from 1 species